UCCUCCACUCACCUUAUUUAUUGCAAUAUAUCUCCCUUUCUCUCUAUUUACAGUUUUCAUCGAACCCCGACAGUAUUCAUCGAAAAAGAAGAGGAAAAGAAGUUCUUGUCUAGGUUUCAGUUUUCAUCGAGAGAAGAGAGAAACUUUUCUUUUCUUUUUAUUCAACAUAUCUCGUGGAUUUUACCUCGUUGCAUGAAAUUAAAACCCUCCUUUCAACAAAUCUGGAAGUUAAUCAAAACCCAUCAUCUGAAAUCUUUUCUUCUUCUUCAACAGAUCUCGUGGAUUUUACCUCGUUGCAUGAAAUUAAAACCCUCCUUUCAACAAAUCUGGAAGUUAAUCAAAAUCCAUCAUCUGAAAUCAAAUAUAAACCUAAUUUUUUCCCUGAAAUCAAAAAUCAAAUCAUUCAGCCUCUGAUUUUGGUGGAUUAUCAUCAGGUAUAAACUAGUAUUUUGUUAAUUUUAUUUUUUUCUGAAAUAAUUUGAUAGUUAGGGUUUUUGAUUGUGAGAUAGCUAGUAUCUGAAUCGGUUAGGGCUUUUGAUUGUGGUGUUCUUUUUUAUUGUAAUAUGUAGAUUUGAAGUAUUGGGUAUGUUUUGUUUCAAUUGAAGAUGAAGCUUUCGUGAAUGACUCAGUUGUGUGUAGAGCUUUUGAUUUUUGAGUUAUCUAAUGUUUUAUUUAGGUUUUUUGUGUGUAGAGUUUUAGUUUUUGUGUAGAGUCUUUGAAGUAAUCUGAUGUUUUCCACAGUGUUUGUAGUGAUUUUACUUCAUUUGGUAGAGGUUUCUGUAAACUAGAUUCAAGUAUUUAUGUGUUAGAAUUCUUAUCUGAAAGAAAAUAAAAUCUGGGUUUUGCUCUUCUUUUUUUUUGCCUUCAUUUUCAUUUAGGUUGAUUUCACAUGCUUGAGUAAAUGCUUUAUUUCCUUUUGAUACUAGCAUUUGGAGAAAUGAUUAAGCUUAAUAUUAGUAGCAAUUAGUAUUGAGUGUGUGCGGUUAUUGCUGAUUUUACUUCAUUUGGUAGAGGUUCUGUAAAUCUAUACUACUGUGAAAUCUAUGUUGUCUAGAUGUUGUUGUUGUUGUUGGUUUAAUUAUUAUUGCUGUCUAUAUAUGUUGGUGUUAGGCAAUUUCUAAAGUAUCAAUUUAUUUGAGUAGAGUUUUAGUUUAAAUUUACUAUGCUACUAGUAUGCUGGCACAGAGAUAAGUUAGCGACGAAACAUAUGAUGAAUGCGCUCAUUUGAUCCUAAUCAUCCAUUGCGCCUAGUGCAGCCAUAAACAUCUGGUCUGGGAGUAUUAUUAUCUUAUACAGAGGUGUCAAUUACGUAUAUCCGUAUUUCCUGAUUACAAACACAACAAAUGACACUUCUGGUGAUGAGUUAGUCUCAGUAUCUGAUGGGAAUGAUUGUAGAAGAAGCUAACCGUAUGUUGGAUGGACUUGGUUCACGUUUUAUUACCUAUUGAUGAUGAUCUUCUACCGGCUAUUGUCCCGGUUUAUCGGAGACCCUUUCGCCUUCUUCUAUAUGGGAUAAAUCCAAGCUAACUGAUGAUGAGAUGACUAUUUUAAGGAGACUUGGUCUCCUUUUACCAUGUCAUUUCUCCCUGGGUUAGUCUAUCUCUUCCCCUCUCUCCUUUAUCUAAUUAGUAUUUCUUUAAUGGAUUCCCUUUUUAUCAGGGAGAAACAAGAAACUUCAGGGACUAGCUGCUUCAAUUGUGAAACUCUGGGAAAAAUUUAAGAUUGCUAAAAUUGCUGUGAAGAGGAGUCCAGAACACUAAUAGUUUAAUGAUGGCUGGGAGUUGAGAACUUACGGGCGGCAGUUAGUCUACGUUGGUCAGCUCUGCGAUGCAUUGGUUAUUUGGUUGUUGGUCAUCGCCAGAACCUUGUUGCGUUCGCAAGCGAAGUACUAUGGGAAGAACCAAAUGUUGAACCUGCCCUAAACUCAAUACCCCGCAUCCUUUUAAGAGGUUUUACUGCUCAAGAGUUUGCGGCGACGGACAUUGUGUUUAGGUUCUUUUGUGAGAUUUUAUUUGUUGGGAGGAGAUCUUGGUUUGGAUUUUGAUUACCCUUAAGCAGUAAAGGAAAUCAUGUCGGACAAAGGGAUUCGAUCUUAAUAUAUAUACAGAUCUUAAGUGCUUGGUUCUUAAACGCGGCUCCGUCUUUAUAUAUGCAAACAAAAACUCGUGAAUCUGUGGAAUGAAUAUUCAAUUGAAUCCUCAAUGGAAAGGUCGCCAGAUCAUCCUCACUUACCUACCCCGAGGAGAGUAGUUAUUUCUCCCAUGGUAAAGCAUGAUUUUGGAAACCACAAGAGAAUAAAAAGGAAAUGGAGCCGAACAAGCUCUUAGAGAUGCUGUUACCAAGCACUGCAGAGGAAACUGGACCUUAGUCUUAAACAAAAACCGUGAUGUGUUUGAGGAUAGAACUGCAGUAAACAUUCUUCUUCACACUCAUUAGUGUGUCUGAGUUGUUCCACAUAUAUGUUAACUCAUUCAAUACCAUCCACUACAGGGAGAUCUAAAGGAUAAGUGGUGAAAUAUGACAAGAUAAAUCAGUUUUGGAGUUCAAACCUCUGUAGUAUGCGAGGUUGGUCUGUAAUGAUAUUAGCGGGGGAAAGAGAACAUUCCGAUUCCAGCAACCAAUAUGGUCGAUGACCCACCUGUUGCUCCUACAGCUCACCACAAGCUCCUGCAAACGUGAAAUUUCCUGCUCAUCCCCUGCUUGGAUGCAACUGCAAAGGAGUUUGUAUCUAUUCAAGGAAAUGUGCCUGCACAAAGCUUAACGGUUUUGAAUUCCUAUAUGUAUCCAAAGAUGGUGGCAGGUAAAGCAGUUUCACUUUCUCCAUGCAGAUCUGAAUUUCCAUAUGUUUGACAUGGAUAUGGCAUGUAUAUCAAACUCAGAAAAGACUUCUCAGGAAAAAAAAAAAGGUUAGGGUUUUUAUAGUUUCAAAUUCAGAAACUUAUGUAAUUGGGAUUUUGCAUAAGUUGUUUAAUAUUUUAUGGGUUUAUGGUUCAUUGUAUCUGUUUAGCUACUCUGUUGAUGUAUGAAUCGUUCUUGAUUGAUUGUGAUGAUCAAUUAUUGUUCUUGAUUGAUUGUAAUUCGGGAGCA